CCAGGGCCUGUUUACAGAUAAAACAAAGAUAAACAAUAUUAAUACAAGUCUACAGCUACAUGGUUUGAGCACGCGCACACUGUUUUUCUAUGUUACGUAUAUUCACACAGUGACGUCACAUGACAAUUUAACAACGUGACCUGUACGCAGAACACACCUGUGUGCUAUUACCUGUAAUCAGCAGCUAGCUGCUCUACCAGGUAACUAAAGCUGUAUGAUAAUGUUUGCGUGAAUUUUGGCGAAUAUGUGCUCGUGGUAAAGUGAAUAAACGGACGGACAGCAGCAGAGAAGUGUUAGUGAUAACGUUAGUUUACAUGUUGGUACUUGCUGUUAGCUGCUGUGGCUCGAGACUGCUCUCUGGAGAGCGAGCUACAAACUUUAGAGAGCCAGAGAGGUGGAGGCUCCGCUUUGUUCACACUCUUCUCCUGAACAAAUGAGAUAACCGCGACGAGACUAACACGAUUCAGCGCUCAGGAUUUCACCUUCAAGGGCCGCUUCAAGCAUCCAAAUAUUCACCCACAGUCCUCCAGAAGUGAGUACAGAAGGGAACAGGGAAGACUUGUCAAGCUCUCGUCGGCACAUCUCCUUCAGCUGUGGAAACAAACAAACAUAGACUGUUAAAGGCUGUUGGAGGGCAGAGACCGAGGACAGGAGCAGAGUCAGAGGCCCCAGAGACCGUGAGACUGCCAUGACAUGUGAUGAAGACAGAGAAAGGUAUUGGCAGACCUGAAGCUCGGGGCAAAGUCACACCCUCAACGCAACCUCUACGCAAGCACAUAAAUCACUCACUGCUACACCUACACAUUCAAGAAGACAGGACACAUUUGGAGGACAGCAUUGAACACACAUGGGAGCAGAGGGCAGCAGGUCUGUCCUUCACCUCAGAGGCAUUCUUCAUCCAACUCAAGAAAAUCAACAUCAAAGCUGGACUGACAUCGUUUUGACAUUGGAGGUUUGACACAGAUGAUAGAGGAAGCCCUGAAAAUGUUUUUUCCACCUUUUUGUAUUACAUGGACACAGGCCAAACAAUAACCAUACAGACAAGGAGAAUAUGGCACGGACAGAUUCAAUGACAAAGUGGUUAGAAGACACACUCAAAGAACAAUGUAAGAAACUAAAAGAUAUGCUGCCAUGCCAGGAGUCCGCAAGUUUUUAUUCCCACCAAAAAAUACAAAAAAAACAUUUUUGGUUGUUUUUUUUUGUGCCCCCCAAAGAGGUUCAGCCAGCACCAAAGGAAAAUCCUUUAUAAUAAAAUAAUAUAUUUUUUUAACCAGUUUUGUUAAUUAGGUAACUAAUAAUUUGUUAGUUCUUGUUUUAUUAUAAUACUAUGCAUUUCCUUUCUUUAUGAUCAUGAUUAUUUUAACAAAUUUCAGUCAUUUACUUACUUACACUUAUUAUUAUUAUUAUUAUUAUUAAUAAUAAAACUCAUAUUCUGUUUGUUUGUUUGGCUGUUUCCCCUUGCUUUUAUCUUAUUUUAUGAAUUUCUUUUUUCUUUCUUUCUUUUUCCUUUAUUGUUUUUCUUUUUCCUUUAUUGUUUUUCUUUCUCCUCACAUAAAAAUAUUACUUUUUGGAUUUAUGAGUUAUUUUGUAUCUUGGAGAACAAAGCAUAUGUAUGGUUUUGCUGAGUCAAUAAAUAAAAAGUUAUUAAAAAGAAAAAAAGAAAAAAGUUUUGUUUAUUGUGGUUUCAUUUACUCAAGCAUAAUAUACAUUUGUGUUUAUAAAAUGGUCAAUAACAGGAAAAUGCAUAGAUUUCUGUCAAAUAAUGUAACGCAGACUCAUGCUUACUGUUGUGCAUAGUCGCCCCCCCAAAGGCCCAUUCUGAGCCAGGAAAAACCUGCAGACUCUUGGCUCUCUCUCAUAAGAUGGACUGCUCAGUCACCGCCUGUCACAUUAAUAUUGCAUACUUCCUGCUAGUCUCCCUCUUUUUCACAAUAAUUCUGAUUAUUUGAGAAUUUGUGUUGCAGUAGUGCUGACGCUUUCCUCCCAUCUGUAACCCUGUGUGCCGCGUGAGAUUAAAAGAAAAAACAUAUAUUCAGCUAAUGUCUAAAAUAUAGACAUCAGGCUGAAAAGUGGC